rnacentral:rRNA from 1 species
UGGGGAAUUUUGGACAAUGGGGGAAACCCUGAUCCAGCCAUCCCGCGUGUGCGAUGAAGGCCUUCGGGUUGUAAAGCACUUUUGGCAGGAAAGAAACGUCGCGGGUUAAUACCCCGCGAAACUGACGGUACCUGCAGAAUAAGCACCGGCUAACUACGUGCCAGCAGCCGCGGUGAUACGUAGGGUGCAAGCGUUAAUCGGAAUUACUGGGCGUAAAGCGUGCGCAGGCGGUUCGGAAAGAAAGAUGUGAAAUCCCAGAGCUUAACUUUGGAACUGCAUUUUUAACUACCGGGCUAGAGUGUGUCAGAGGGAGGUGGAAUUCCGCGUGUAGCAGUGAAAUGCGUAGAUAUGCGGAGGAACACCGAUGGCGAAGGCAGCCUCCUGGGAUAACACUGACGCUCAUGCACGAAAGCGUGGGGAGCAAACAGGAUUAGAUACCCUGGUAGUCCACGCCCUAAACGAUGUCAACUAGCUGUUGGGGCCUUCGGGCCUUGGUAGCGCAGCUAACGCGUGAAGUUGACCGCCUGGGGAGUACGGUCGCAAGAUUAAAACUCAAAGGAAUUGACGGGGGUCAUAGCUG